rnacentral:ncRNA from 1 species
AAUGACUUCGAGCCCUCACUCCUAAAGGAAACCAUGGAGUCCGGGCCGUGCCUGAAUUCAGGCUCAGGGUUAUACCGGAAACGGUAUGGCCUUCCAUAAUCGAAAAGGAGACAAAAAAAU